ensembl:lncRNA
AUAUAUAUAUACAUGAAUUAUCUACACCUCUCACCUAACGUGAACCAUCACAGUUCACGUAGGGUUUGAGGUCCUCAUUCACACUCACAUUCACACAUACAAACAAACAAAUAUAAAUGCAUUAUCUUUACCUCUAACUUAACAUGAACUAUCACAGUUCACAUCGGGUUCGAGGUCCUCAUUCACACACAAACAAACAAACAAAUAUAAAUGCAUUAUCUUUACCUCUAACUUAACAUGAACCAUCACAGUUCACGUUGGGUUUGAGGUCUUCAUUCACACUCACAGGUACAUAUGGCGGCAAACAACCACACAUACAUGCAAAAACCUGCUAGAAGGGGAUGUCUUAUUUUGUUCAUCUGCUGAGUUGCAGUUGAUUGCAUCUGUCUUUUGAAUAAACCAAUAGCCAUAUUUAAAUAUAGUGAUAUUUGGUGACAGUAUUUUUACCUGAUUAGAAGGGACGAGGUGCGAUGAGGUGUAUUGGACAUAAAAGAAUUGCUCUGGCAAAAGAAUUGGUCUGGCAGCCUGAGGAGGCAGUUUGACUGGCUGUAAUUCAAGUCUGAACUGCAGCUGUUAGGCAUUAAAGUGCUAAUCCUUUGUCCUAUAAUGCUCCAUUAACCCGAUGCCGAUGCCAACAAUACAUCCUACUGUCACCACAGUUUUGGCGAGGUCAGACCACCAACUUCUGGCCCCAACCGGUGUCUCCUCUGUCUCAUCCGUCUCUGAGAGGAACCCUUCGUCACUGUAAUACUCAGAUGAGUCUGGGUCUUCAACAUAGAUUAUGAAUUCCUCUCUGCUAUCUACCUGUAUUUCCUGC